rnacentral:rRNA from 1 species
AUUGAACGCUGGCGGCAGGCCUAACACAUGCAAGUCGAGCGGGGUUUUCGGACCUAGCGGCGGACGGGUGAGUAAUGCGUAGGAAGCUACCCGAUAGAGGGGGAUACCAGUUGGAAACGACUGUUAAUACCGCAUAAUGUCUACGGACCAAAGUGUGGGACCUUCGGGCCACAUGCUAUCGGAUGCGCCUACGUGGGAUUAGCUAGUUGGUGGGGUAAUGGCUCACCAAGGCGACGAUCCCUAGCUGGUUUGAGAGGAUGAUCAGCCACACUGGAACCGAGAAACGGUCCAGCGUCCUACGGGAGGCAGCAGUGGGGAAUAGUGGACAAUGGGCGCAAGCCUGAUCCAGCCAUGCCGCGUGUGUGAAGAAGGCCUUCGGGUUGUAAAGCACUUUCAGUAGGGAGGAAGGGUGUUGUGUUAAUAGCACAGCAUUUUGACGUUACCUACAGAAGAAGCGCCGGCUAACUCUGUGCCAGCAGCCGCCGUAAUAC